GGAAUCUUGCGCAAUGGGCGAAAGCCUGACGCAGCAACGCCGCGUGCGGGAUGAAGGCCUUCGGGUUGUAAACCGCUUUUAACAGGAACGAAAAUGACGGUACCUGUAGAAUAAGGUGCGGCCAACUACGUGCCAGCAGCCGCGGUGACACGUAGGCACCAAGCGUUGUCCGGAUUUAUUGGGCGUAAAGAGCUCGUAGGCGGUUCAGUAAGUCGGGUGUGAAAACUCUGGGCUUAACCCAGAGACGCCACUCGAUACUACUGUGACUAGAGCUCGGUAGGGGAGCGGGGAAUUCCUAGUGUAGCGGUGAAAUGCGCAGAUAUUAGGAGGAACACCGGUGGCGAAGGCGCCGCUCUGGGCCGAUACUGACGCUGAGGAGCGAAAGCGUGGGUAGCAAACAGGAUUAGAUACCCUGGUAGUCCACGCCGUAAACGGUGGGCACUAGGUGUGGGCUCCAACCAACGGAGUCCGCGCCGUCGCUAACGCAUUAAGUGCCCCGCCUGGGGAGUACGGCCGCAAGGUUAAAACUCAAAGGAAUUGACGG
rnacentral:rRNA from 1 species